AGAAAAAUUCAUCAGAAAAACUUGUGUUUAUAUCUGAAGAGAUGGCUAGCGUUUGCUUUACAACAUUGUUCUUGGUUUAUGUCAUUCUAAUUGCCAUCAUUGGUUUGUUUUGCUUGGAAAUUGCAGCAAAUCCACCAUGCAAGAAGAAGCAAGAUUGUUAUUAUUUUUGUUAUCCAUUUGAAUGGACCGCCGUGUGCCGAGAUGGACAGUGUCACUGUACUUAGGGAUAUGGAUUUGCAUUGAAAACCACUAAAUAUUUGAAAGUUCUAAAGCACUUAUAUGUGCGGAGAAAAUUAAAUUAAAUUUUCAAUGUAGUGGUUAUUAUACAUGUAUCAACCCUUAAAGACAUACUCAAGUCUUGAAUAAAUGAGCUAUGGAGUUAAUUAUCAA